AACGAACGCUAUCGGUAUGCUUAACACAUGCAAGUCGGACGGACUAAUUAGGGCUUGCUCCAAUUAGUUAGUGGCAGACGGGUGAGUAACACGUGGGAAUCUGCCCAUCAGUACGGAAUAACUUUUAGAAAUAAAAGCUAAUACCGUAUAUUCUCUACAGAGGAAAGAUUUAUCGCUGAUGGAUGAGCCCGCGUCAGAUUAGGUAGUUGGUGAGGUAACGGCUCACCAAGCCGACGAUCUGUAGCUGGUCUGAGAGGAUGAUCAGCCACACUGGGACUGAGACACGGCCCAGACUCCUACGGGAGGCAGCAGUGGGGAAUAUUGGACAAUGGGCGAAAGCCUGAUCCAGCAAUACCGAGGGAGUGAUAAAGGCCCUAGGGUUGUAAAGCUCUUUUAGCAAGGAAGAUAAUGACGUUACUUGCAGAAAAAGCCCCGGCUAACUCCGU
rnacentral:rRNA from 1 species